GACGAACCGUGCGAACGUUAUUCGGAAUCACUGGGCUUAAAGGGCGCGUAGGCGGGCCGAGAAGCCAGGGGUGAAAUCCUCCAGCCCAACUGGAGAAGCGCCUUUGGAACUGGCGGCCUCGAGGGUGGCAGGGCAUGGCGGAACUCAGGGUGGAGCGGUGAAAUGCGUAGAUAUCCUGAGGAACACCGGUGGCGAAAGCGGCGUGCCUGGACACCUUCUGACGCUGAGGCGCGAAAGCCAGGGAGCGAACGGGAUUAGAGUACCCUGGU
rnacentral:rRNA from 1 species